rnacentral:rRNA from 1 species
CCUACGGGGGGCUGCAGUGAGGAAUAUUGGUCAAUGGGCGAGAGCCUGAACCAGCCAAGUCGCGUGAGGGAAGACGGCCCUACGGAUUGUAAACCUCUUUUGCCGGGGAGCAAAAAGCGGUACGUGUACCGCAUCGUGAGUACCCGGUGAAAAAGCAUCGGCUAACUCCGUGCCAGCAGCCGCGGUAAUACGGAGGAUGCGAGCGUUAUCCGGAUUUAUUGGGUUUAAAGGGGGCGGAGGUGGGUGGUUAAGUCAGCGGUGAAAGUUUGGGGCUCAAACCCGAAAAGGCAGUUGAAACUGGCAUGCUAGAGUGCGCGAGAGGUAUGCGGAAUGCGUGGUGUAGCGGUGAAAUGCAUAGAUAUCACGCAGAACUCCGAUUGCGAAGGCAGCAUACCGACGCCCAACUGACGCUCAGGCACGAAAGUGUGGGUAUCGAACAGGAUUAGAUACCCGAGUAGUC